rnacentral:misc_RNA from 1 species
GGAGAACCAAGCAAAGCGGAGCAAACAAUCUUCAAGUUCCGGGAGGAGAAGCUUGAAGAGAAAGCUCGAAGGAGAUUUUGAAGACGAUCGUAAAGUUUCUUCUCAUGAUGAUGAUGCUCAUCAAGAUCUCGCUUCUGAGGUUCGAACGCAGGUGGAGAUUCUCGAUUCUACUUUCUCUUCGACGGAAGCAGAUCGUGCCUCUGCCAAGACUGCUAUUCAUGUUCUCUGCGAGUUAGCGAAGAACGAGGAAAUUGUGAAUGUGGUUGUAGACUGUGGUGCUGUCCCAGCUUUGGUGAAGCAUCUUCAAGUGCCAUCCCUUGGGAAUCAAGGAGAUGGUGGGCAGAUGCCGUAUGAGCAUGAGGUCGAGAAAGGAAGUGCUUUUACGCUUGGCCUUCUAGCCAUAAAACCGGAGCACCAGCAACUUAUUGUUGAUGCUGGAGCUCUACCUCAUCUUGUGGAUCUGCUGAAAAGACAUAAAACUCUGCAAAAUUCUCGUGCUGUCAAUGGUGUUAUCCGGAGAGCAGCUGAUGCAAUCACUAAUCUUGCCCAUGAAAAUAGUAGCAUCAAAACUCGUGUUAGGAUUGUGGGUGGUAUUCCUCCACUUGUUGAAUUGCUUGAGUUCGUUGAUGCAAAGGUGCAAAGAGCAGCUGCAGGAGCGUUGCGAACUUUGGCUUUUAAAAAUGACGAGAACAAAAAUCAGAUUGUUGAAUGCAAUGCACUCCCUACUCUUAUUCUAAUGCUGCGAUCCGAAGAUACUGCAAUACACUAUGAAGCGGUUGGAGUC